UAGGUAACUCGGAGAAGGCUAUUCUCAUCCCUUAGUUCUAAAAAUAUUGAGUUUGUGCAAUCAGAAAAGAAAAACAAUGGUGAAAAAGGGAAGUUUGUUGAUUGUAUUGACAUGGAUUCUAGUGUUGAUAUCCAUUGUGAUAUGUGCAAGUGCAAGCGGAGAUCCUCAUCGUAGUCCAGCUGAGCAGAAGGUGGAUUAUCCCCUAGCUGGCUGUCGCUGUUGCUAUUUUGUUGGUGUGAUUCCAAACAUCCGAUGUGGUAGCGUUUGCUGUUUUGAUGGUUGUUGCUAACUUCAAACAUUGAAGAAUCAAUGAACUUUUCAUAUUUAUUGUCUUAGUUUGCUUUGAAUAAAAUGAGAUUAGGAUUGUAAUCUUCAUUGCAAUUUCUACUUCUCUUUGUAUUUUCAUUUUUCAAUUGUUAUCAAGGCGUACGUUGUUUUCUUA